UCUGGCGGUCAUAGCGGGGGGGAAACACCCGUACCCAUUCCGAACACGGAAGUUAAGCCCCCCAGCGCCGAUGAUACUGCCACCGCGAGGUGGUGGGAAAGUAGGACGCUGCCAGGA
rnacentral:rRNA from 1 species